UACGGAGGGAGCUAGCGUUGUUCGGAAUUACUGGGCGUAAAGCGCGCGUAGGCGGCUUUGUAAGUUAGAGGUGAAAGCCCGGGGCUCAACCCCGGAACUGCCUUUAAGACUGCAUCGCUUGAAUCCGGGAGAGGUGAGUGGAAUUCCGAGUGUAGAGGUGAAAUUCGUAGAUAUUCGGAAGAACACCAGUGGCGAAGGCGGCUCACUGGACCGGCAUUGACGCUGAGGUGCGAAAGCGUGGGGAGGCAAACAGG
rnacentral:rRNA from 1 species